rnacentral:lncRNA from 1 species
UUUAUAAUAAAUUGGAUAUUAUUCGAAAAUAUCUGCAUUCCUAUUUGAUAUUAUUCGUAUCUGGAAUACUGGAUAGAGAAUAGUCUGAUUUGGUCGAACUUAGAUAUGAAUAUGAUUUUAGAGAACUAAAAUUAUCUGGAUAUUUGUAAUAACUGAAACGGAUAUGAAUAUUUGAAUUUUUCUACAGUAUUAUAUUUUGUACUAAUAAAUUAUAUUAGAAAAAAUAUCAAAUACCACCCCCAUGGUUUCACACUUUCUCAUUUUAGUACCCUAUAGUUUAAAGUGUAUUAAUUUAGUACUCUAUGGUUUCUUUUUUUUUUUUAUCGAUUCCACUAAUUUUUUUCAUUAAAUCAAUGACAAAGUUAAAACUGAAGGGAACUAAAGUAAAUAUUCGAUAAACUUAGGUAGGAUAACGAAAUAUUAACGGAAAAGCUGACGAAAAAAUAAAAAUAAAACCAAAGAGCACUACUAACUUGAUAAACUUUAAACCACGGGGUACUAAAGUGAGAAAAUACGAAACUAUAGGGGUAAUAUUUGAAGUUUACCCAUUAGAUUACAAUGCUAUAUCCAAUAUUUCAUUCACCAUUGUGCUUUCAAAGUUGGAGAUAUCCAAACAAAACGUUUUACAUUGUUUGAUUGCUAAUAUAUGUGGGAUAUAAAAUGGUCUUAAUUAGUUUUUUUAGUGAUAAAAGGCAGCUUAAUUUCCAUUUGUGGGAAGAUAAGAAGAAGUUCGAUUACUUAUUGAGGGUAGGUAACGAUUAGUAUAUAUUAUCAGAAAAUAAGGUACUUUUUUUGUACUAUCCAUUUAUUUUAAUACAAGUUUUAUAUAAAAAUUAUAAUU